UGGGGAAUUUUGGACAAUGGGCGCAAGCCUGAUCCAGCAAUGCCGCGUGAGUGAAGAAGGCCUUCGGGUUGUAAAGCUCUUUUGUCAGGGAAGAAACGGGUGCGGCUAAUAUCUGCAUCUAAUGACGGUACCUGAAGAAGAAGCACCGGCUAACUACGUGCCAGCAGCCGCGGUAAGACGUAGGGUGCAAGCGUUGUCCGGAUUUACUGGGCGUAAAGAGCGCGUAGGCGGCUCGUUAAGUGAGAAGUGAAAGCUCUUGGCUCAACCAAGAAACCGCUUUUCAUACUGGCGAGCUGGAGUGAUGCAGAGGUGGAUAGAAUUCCCGGUGUAGCGGUGAAAUGCGUUGAUAUCGGGAGGAAUACCCGUGGCGAAGGCGGUCCACUGGGCAUCAACUGACGCUGAGGCGCGAAAGCGUGGGUAGCAAA
rnacentral:rRNA from 1 species